UACGUAGGGUGCAAGCGUUGUCCGGAAUUAUUGGGCGUAAAGAGCGUGUAGGCGGUUCGGUAAGUCUGUCGUGAAAACCCGGGGCUCAACCCCGGGCGUGCGGUGGAUACUGCCGGGCUAGAGGAUGGUAGAGGCGAGUGGAAUUCCCGGUGUAGCGGUGAAAUGCGCAGAUAUCAGGAGGAACACCCGUAGCGAAGGCGGCACUCUGGGCCGAUACUGACACUGAGGAGCGAAAGCGUGGGGAGCGAACAGG
rnacentral:rRNA from 1 species